UGGGCCGUCGCCAAGCGGUAAGGCACCAGGUUUUGAUCCUGGGAUGCGUAGGUUCGAAUCCUACCGGCCCAGCCA
rnacentral:tRNA from 1 species